GGGGAUAUAGCUCAGUUGGUAGAGUACUUGCCUCACAUACACAAGACCGUGGGUUCAAUCCCCAGCACCCCUC
rnacentral:tRNA from 1 species